rfam:Flaviramulus basaltis strain DSM 18180 genome assembly, contig: Ga0104527_102
AGUUAGCAAACACCUGCGUUAGGGAUUGCAGUGGCAUCCUUUUUUGAGGCACGAGAAAAAGAUAUAACGCAAAGCCCGACCUUUA